GACGAACCGAGCGAACGUUGUUCGGAAUCACUGGGCUUAAAGGGCGCGUAGGCGGGUGCUCAAGUCAGUGGUGAAAUCCUCCAGCUUAACUGGAGAACUGCCAUGGAUACUGGGUGUCUCGAGGAACGUAGGGGUAUGCGGAACGAUUGGUGGAGCGGUGAAAUGCGUUGAUAUCAACCGGAACUCCGGUGGCGAAGGCGGCAUACUGGACGUUAUCUGACGCUGAGGCGCGAAAGCCAGGGGAGCAAACGGG
rnacentral:rRNA from 1 species